ensembl:lncRNA
GGGUCAGAUAUAAACCGAGUUUAGGUGUAGUUUAUUUAGCAGCAGUUCUCUUAUGUGUUGCUGAUAGCCGGCUAGCUAGCUAGCUAGCGCCGCUAGCAUACUAGCUAGCGCGGCUAGCGACCCUUCGUGAAAAACCACCCAGGCUUGGCUGAUAGUGAGGUGGCUAAAAUUUGUUUAAUCGCCCGAUCGCUCGGCAAGGGUCUGUGUCUUAGCUGGACUUAUUUUUCGUUUAUAUGGGCCGAUGAUGCUGGUCGAUGUGGAAAAAAUAACUGAGUUGUUUGGUGGUGGAGCUAGCCGGAGCUACAACAGAGGGCAGCUAUCCACCGGUGUGUGACAGAAAGGACAUGCCGCGAACCACACAUAGGAGGUGGGGCAGGCGACCGCCGAUCGACCGGUGGUUGCUAACCUGGAGGUCAAUCGUGGAUCAGGGAAAGCGAAGGCAGGAGCUGAGGGGUGAACUGAAUUUCAGGUAAGAAGUUAUGAACUGCACUCUAUUUGGGUCAGAUAUAAACAGAGUUUAGGUGUAGUUUAUUUUCGUUGUGCUGACCUUUUACAAUCGUACUGCAUGCUAGCUAGCACGACAGCUGUGUGCGCGGUAAGUUACUGAGGUUUAACUUUAUUAUAUUCAUAAGGGUUGGUUCGUCAGAGUUGCCGUACAAACGGAAUCGUCCCACAUUCAGAGAAAACAUUACGAUUUAUUCUGUCGUUACGAAGCCUCCCCUGUCAUUCUCUCGCCAGUUGCAACUUCACUCAUGAAACUGAUCAACGAUCGGCUUUUCGCUCUUGUUUAUCGCGCUAAAGAACAGCAGCACGUUUAAGCUUGAUCAGCUGUUGUUAGAAUUAAUUUGAUUUUAAUUUCUAGUAUCAGCUGAUGUUUUC